AGCAGCCGCGGUAAUUCCAGCUCCAAUAGCGUAUAUUAAAGUUGUUGCAGUUAAAAAGCUCGUAGUUGAAUUUCGGGGUCAGUAGGCUGGUCAUGCCACAGGUAUGUACUGGUCUCACUGAUUCCUCCUUCCUGAUGAACCGUAAUGCCAUUAAUUUGGUGUUGCGGGGAAACUGGACUGUUACUUUGAAAAAAUUAGAGUGUUUAAAGCAAGCUAACGCUUGAAUACAUUAGCAUGGAAUAAUGAAAUAGGACGUUUGAUUCUAUUUUGUUGGUUUCUAGGAUCGACGUAAUGAUUAAUAGGGAUAGUUGGGGGCAUUAGUAUUCAAUUGUCAGAGGUGAAAUUCUUGGAUUUAUUGAAGACUAACUACUGCGAAAGCAUUUGCCAAGGAUGUUUUCAUUAAUCAAGAACGAAAGUUAGGGGAUCGAAGACGAUCAGAUACCGUCGUAGUCUUAACCAUAAACUAUGCCGACUAGGGAUCGAAUGAUGUUAAUUUUUUAAUGA
rnacentral:rRNA from 1 species